rnacentral:lncRNA from 1 species
CUUGAACCCAGAUGGGUGGACGGAGUGCAGUGUUGUUUGUGAGGACAGAAGGCUCAGCUCCCAGGCACUCACUUGACUUCUGGGUCAGGGGAGGGAUUGCUUUCAUAUUAUUUAGGUUUUGGUUUUAUAGUUUUACAACUCACAUUUCUUACUGUAGCAUCACUCGGAGCUUUUAAUACACCAAAAGGCGCUGUGAAGCUUCACAGGGAUAUGCCUUUCUUACACUUGGAUGGUCUCAGAACCUUUUAUUAUUCCCAAAGCAUGGGGACUCAGCGUUCCACAGACAGGCUCUAGAAAACGCUCCUACUGGGACGGGUCACUCCAGAAAUCCAGCUUGUCAGGCAUGCUCCAGGGUCCUCUCAUACGCACCCUGAGGUCUUCUUAUCAGUUAGUUGAGGGUUAACUCAAUUAAUUGGUUAACUGAGGGUUUUGAUGUCACAGGAAAUCAGCAGCUGCCCUGGUCACCCGUGGUCCCAGCUGGAGGGGGAAGCCUCACUCUGCCUCCCAGCCUGCCCUUUGCACCCUGAUGUGGAUCCCAGGUGCCCAGAAUCCCAGUCAGCCCGCAGUGACCGAGGCCCUUCUCAGCACCAGCAUCUUUGGAGAACCUGGCUGCCCAUGGGCUGAGCCCCGCUCUCGGAACCCUUUAAAGGCCAAGUGUGUGCUGAUGAGAUGCCGUGAACCUCUCUGAGUCCCUGCAUGGCUCAGGGAUUCUAUUUCACACCAAAGUCUGUGUCUGUAACGUUUUGAUUUGUGAAUGUGAAACCUGAGGUGGAGGUGAACACUGACGUACCCCAAGGCCCCUCUUGGCUACUUAAUUCAACAGGGCCUGGGAUUCUGGAGAUUCUGAUGCUCCAGUUUACCUGAAAUUUCAAGUGGUUCCCCAGAAGCUGGCCUGAGAUGAGGAGGGAGUGACGGUGACCCAUCGGGCAGGGGAGGGGAAGCAUGAAACAGAGACGGAGGCGGGGGAAGGUGCAGACAGCACGGCCCUGGGCCCGCAGGUGACCGGCUCACGUGCCCGAGGGUGGGGCAGGACCCACCUGCCUGUCGGGAGUGAAGGGCUGUCUCAGAUGGAGGAGCGUCCCAGGUGCUUCCUGCCCUCCAGACACCCGCUGUGUCCUUGACUGUGCUUGGUACCUCGGAGAAGAUAGAAGCCACUGUAUCUCACCAUUCCAUCAGCAGUGGGGUCUGAUCUUUUGACACCCCAAACCAGCCUUUAAGGGUCAUCAUCUCCUAGAGCUGGCUCCCUGGGGUCAUGACGGGGACCAUCAGUGAACCAUCCCAGGCCAUAGUUACUCUGGAAAUGACCACCUUUCAGUAACUGUGCUACUGAUAACAGCAACGACAAGGACAGCAGUGUGUCUGGGACCGGCCUGAUGCCCAGCACGUGCGUUUUCUCUUCCUGGCACACAGCAGUUUUCUAUCCCAGCUCCCUCGGAUCUCGGAAGGUCCUAGUUCACCGCAAGGGAUUUGUGUCUGGGUCUAGACGGUGAAAGCAGAUAUGACGUUCCCUUAGAUACCUUCAGGCUCCCCUGGUGGCUCAGCUGGUAAAGAAUCCACCUGCAAGGCCGAAGACCCCAGUUCGAUUCCUGGGUUGGGAAGAUCCACUGGAGAAGGGAUAGGCUAC